UACGUAGGUGGCAAGCGUUGUCCGGAUUUACUGGGCGUAAAGGGCGCGUAGGCGGCCCGCUAAGUCGAACGUGAAAUCCCCGGGCUCAACUCGGGAACUGCGUCCGAUACUGGCGGGCUUGAAUCCGGGAGAGGGAUGCGGAAUUCCAGGUGUAGCGGUGAAAUGCGUAGAUAUCUGGAGGAACACCGGUGGCGAAGGCGGCAUCCUGGACCGGCAUUGACGCUGAGGCGCGAAAGCUAGGGGAGCAAACGGG
rnacentral:rRNA from 1 species